GUCAGGAUAGCUCAGCCGGUAGAGCAGAGGA
rnacentral:tRNA from 68 species